CUUUUAAUAGUAUUGGCUUUCCUAUGGACUCAAAAGUGAUUUCUCACAAAUAUAAAAUGAAGACUCUUCUAGCUUGAAGCUUGAGCCAACAUUGUUCCUUUCUUGCAUCCAGGGGAUCUCCACAUAAACCUUAAGCCAUAGCAUCUUUUGAACUUUUUCUGAAAUAUACUUGGAAAACAUAUUAGUCCAAUGAUGCAUAUGUUA
rnacentral:lncRNA from 1 species